AAAGGGUCUGCACAUCAUCGCGCUUUCCUCAUGUCCAAGUGUGGGAAGUAGAGACCAAGGAUGUCCUGCUGCACCUGAUACUUCCCGGCUUUCUUCCGCAGACAGAAGGCAACCUGGUUGGUGCAGAAAGAACAGAGGAGAGAGAAAAAGAACACUUGUCAUACAAGUCUGUGUGCAGACAAUGCUCCCUUUCCUGUCCUGCACCAGCAGAUGGACCACAAGCUGAACAUGAGCCAACCGUGUGAUGCAGCAGCAAAAGAAGCAAAUGCUAUUCUAGGCUGCAUACGGGACCGCCUCUCCUGAGGAUGAACAUACCAGGAAGCAGAUGAGGAAGAGGAGGAGGAAGCCCAGGAGAGCAGACAGACAUAUCAGGAUGAUGGCCCAGAAAGGUAACCCUGGAAAGACAAAAAAAAAAAGUAUUAAAUGUCGGCAGGCUUUGACCCAUGGCAUUGUGGAGAAUUAAAAUGGGCAGCUUCUGAGGCUGGGGCGUUUGAGUAAAUCCGAUGGCCAGUGGAAGAAUUGAAAGAGGAGACCCACCCACCAGAAACCGGGACCCCUCCAACCUUGAAUCAAGGCUGAACCAAAGAAGCAUCACUAACCUCCUUGGUGGUGCACUGGGGUCACUGUUGAAGGAUAACCUGUAAAUAUAGCAUAAACAUAACAGUGUGAAAUGAACCCAGGAGCUGAAUCAAGCCAAAAG